UACAGAGGUCUCAAGCGUUGUUCGGAUUCAUUGGGCGUAAAGGGUGUGUAGGUGGCACCGUAAGUCGGGUGUGAAAUUUCGGAGCUUAACUCCGAAACUGCAUUCGAUACUGCGGUGCUUGAGGACUGGAGAGGAGACUGGAAUUCAUGGUGUAGCAGUGAAAUGCGUAGAGAUCAUGAGGAAGACCAGUGGCGAAGGCGGGUCUCUGGACAGUUCCUGACACUGAGGCACGAAGGCCAGGGGAGCAAACGGG
rnacentral:rRNA from 1 species